GGGCAUCUUCUUCAUGCAAUCAUGACUUUGAUAUGGCUAAAGUUCGCUCUAUGGAAGUAGAAUUACAAGAGAAUAAAGCAACAAUUUCUUUAUUACAAGCCCAGGUGACAUAUUUCAUUAAUCAUUGUAUGGGUGGAAAAGUGCCACAUGACUUUCCUACAGCUACGAAUAAUGGGGUAAAUAUUAUAUAUAGAUUUUUUUCUUGAAUCUUUCAUUGUGCAUGAUUUAGUAAAAUAAUGAUUUAGUUAUUGUUGUUCAUUUUCUUAAUUUGUGUAGAUGACUUAUGCCUUUUCAUAUUAGACUUAAAUUAUUUAACGGUCUUUGUUUUUAUUCUAACAUAUUUUUAUUUUUUUUUAAUCCUAGAUUGCAGAAUCUCCAAUAGAGACAAG
rnacentral:lncRNA from 1 species